UACGAAGGGUGCAAGCGUUAAUCGGAAUUAUUGGGCGUAAAGCGCGCGCAGGCGGUUUGUUAAGUCUGAUGUAUAAGCCCAAGGCUCAACUUUGGGAGGCAUUGGAAACUGGGAGACUGGAGUGUAGGAGAGGAAAGUGGAAUUCCACGUGUAGCGGUGAAAUGCGUAGAGAUGUGGAGGAACACCAGUGGCGAAGGCGGCCAUCUGGGCAUGUGCUGACGCUGAGGAGCGAAAGCGUGGGGAGCGAACAGG
rnacentral:rRNA from 1 species